GAUGAACGCUGGCGGCGUGCCUAAUACAUGCCAGUCGAGCGAACAGACGAGGAGCUUGCUCCUCUGACGUUAGCGGCGGACGGGUGAGUAACACGUGGAUAACCUACCUAUAAGACUGGGAUAACGUCGGGAAACCGGAGCUAAUACCGGAUAAUAUAUUGAACCGCAUGGUUCAAUAGUGAAAGACGGUUUUGCUGUCACUUAGAGAUGGAUCCGCGCCGCAUUAGCUAGUUGGUAAGGUAACGGCUUACCAAGGCAACGAUGCGUAGCCGACCUGAGAGGGUGAUCGGCCACACUGGAACUGAGACACGGUCCAGACUCCUACGGGAGGCAGCAGUAGGGAAUCUUCCGCAAUGGGCGAAAGCCUGACGGAGCCACGCCGCGUGAGUGAUGAAGGUCUUCGGAUCGUAAAACUCUGUUAUUAGGGAAGAACAAAUGUGUAAGUAACUAUGCACGUCUUGACGGUACCUAAUCAGAAAGCCACGGCUAACUACGUG
rnacentral:rRNA from 1 species